GAUGAACGCUAGCGGCAGGCCUAACACAUGCAAGUCGAGGGGCAGCGAGGCGGAAGCUUGCUUCCGCUGUCGGCGACCGGCGCACGGGUGCGUAACGCGUAUGUAACCUACCUUAUACAGGAGGAUAACCCGGAGAAAUUCGGACUAAUACUCCAUAAGUAUAUUUUCGGCAUCGGAGAUAUAUGAAAGAUUCAUCGGUAUAAGAUGGACAUGCGUGACAUUAGCUAGAUGGUGAGGUAACGGCUCACCAUGGCGACGAUGUCUAGGGGUUCUGAGAGGAAGGUCCCCCACACUGGUACUGAGACACGGACCAGACUCCUACGGGAGGCAGCAGUGAGGAAUAUUGGUCAAUGGACGGAAGUCUGAACCAGCCAUGCCGCGUGCAGGACGACGGCUCUAUGAGUUGUAAACUGCUUUUGUACGAGAAUAACGGUAUCUACGUGUAGGUAAUUGAAUGUAUCGUACGAAUAAGGAUCGGCUAACUCCGUG
rnacentral:rRNA from 1 species